AUGCAGUUGCUUCAGUCUGGUAAUACGACGAUUAAUAUUAAUGGUGAGGUGAGACCAUUCUUUACGUCCUCUGCGUGAGUGAAGCAAGGCGAACCGAUCUCACUACUCCUCUUCAACCUCGUCGUUGAUGCUUUAGUUGGCAUCCUGGAUAAAGCUAGGGUGGCAGGUCACCUCUCGGGGGUAGUUUGUCACCUAAUCCCUGGUGGAGGGAUCAGUCACCUACAAUAUGCUAACGACACCAUGAUUAUGGUGGAGGGGUCGGUCCUGGACAUCGUGAAUCUUAAGUUCCUACUCCUCUAUUUUGAGGCUAUGUCAAGACUAAAGAAUAACUUUGAUAAGAGUGAGGUCAUCGUCAUGGGAUAUCCAGCGGUAGAACAACAACAGAUCGCGGACAACUUAAACAGUAGACUGGCCUCAUUCCCCCAUUACAUACUUGGGAGUGCUGAUGGCCUAGACUACAAAUAA
rnacentral:rRNA from 1 species